UAUAUAUAUGUAUUUUUUUACAUUAUAUAUAUGUGUGUGUGUGUAUAUAAAACAUAUAUAUAUAUAUAUAUCUUUUCCUUUUAGAGUGUAUGUUCUCAAGGGGAGGACUCAUAUGCCACAUAUUUAUCUUUUGCAGUAUACUUAUUUCCCCAAAGCAACUAACCAGGACCAUACAUAUAGACAUAAAGAAAGAACAUAAUAUAUUCUUGUCAAAUGAUAAAAAACUAAGACAGUCUCAAGAAGGAAAGUGCCAUAUUGAAGAUACAUCCUAUAAAAUUAGCUUUAUCAACAUGUUAAAAAUGAGGAUUUUAGGGGAGGGAAAUGAGCGGAUGCAUACCUCAAGUGGUUAAGAGUAGUAGAUUUCAUUCUGUAGAUCAGAAUACACAUGUUCUCUCUGAACUGAUCCAGAGUAUUUGAGAUAUCUAUGAAUUUAAGUUCUUGCUUUGUUAGUGUAGAACUGUCAUCUCUGUCUAAAGAAAAGACACACUUUAAUUUCAGCUUUUUAAUCACCACUUCCUAAAAACAAUCAUGACAGACAAGUUGAAAAACUGAAGAUAUUAUGAUGGGGGCAGGGGUGCAGCGUGGGGGUGGAUCAUUGGGGUUAAAAUCCCCAUGAAACCUAUGUAAAUUUAAAAAAUAGCAGUGCUCCAAAUAAAGCGAGUACUAAUGGCAUUACCAUUUAACAUAAAAGUAAUUAUUAUACAACUCAUUCGCAUUUGCACUGCUUCCCUCACUCAAUUGGAACUUUUCAGGUUCCACCCCUCUCGUAGUUUCAAUGAAACAGUGCAGAUUCAUUUUGCAUUAUAAAAGUUAACUUGGAUACUGGAAACUACUUUUUCUCCCCAGUGGUGGACUCAUCAGCCAAAUGUGAAAACUAUUUUUUCUCCCCAGUGGGGGACUCACCAGCCCAAUGUGUUUACCCCUUAAGAGUCUUUGAAGCCUAUCUUCAAGGAACCAAGAGCAACAAAGUAGCCUGGAUACUUUGAAAUGGAAAGUCUUAUCUAUAGUGUAAGUCUUAUACUAUCUUAUUAUCAAGGCUGUAUUAUAUUAGUCAAACUCUUUCCUACAUAGGCAUAAUCACAGCCCUGCCAAUAAGACUUCAUAUCAUUUCAUCAUGUGUUCUAUCUCCCACAAACUCAUCAUAGCUCCUUACCAUUUUUCUGAUUCAAGACAGCAAUUCCAAGGUCUAGGUUUACUACCCAUCAGGUGCCUUUCUUUAGAAUUUCAUUUCAACCCCGUACAAUCAAUGUGCUUUGCAGCUCUUUACUAUGCCCAAGGCCUAGUUCCCUUCCCCUUUUUUAACCUAAUUAUCCCUUACCAAGUGAUUCAGUUUGCGUGUAUUGAAACAAACUUAGUAGCACUUGAUAUAUCCUAGGAUGUGACAAUUUACUGUAUAAGCAUAAAGAACACACUAACUCGUAAGAAGAAACAAUGUCUGUUGUGAUUAAAAGGAAAUCAGAUUUAGAAUGAGUAGAAUCUCAAUCUCCAUACUGCUCACAGCGACAACUCAUCCCCCAUCAGUAAUAUCUCAUUACACAUAGUGAAUCUCAAAUGAUAUUGGCUUUGGAACAAUUAUAUCAGUAUUACUCAUCCCACUUCCAUGGAAUCCUAUCCACUUAAUGCUUCCCUGAAAUAAAAAAGGGACACAUAUGAAGGACAAAGAUUCAGUUUCUUAUAAACUAGUCUGACAAGCCUACGUAGAACCCUGUUCUUGAGGAAGAAUGUUCACCUCUAAAAUCAACUGGCAUUUAUAUGUAUACUCAUCAUAAAGCACAUAUGUAUGAAUAAUUGGUUAACAUUACCUCCUCCAACAAACCCUAUUUGUUUAGUGAGCACAGCUGUCUCAAACCAGAAGCAUCAUAAUUAAAGGGAAUUUAAAA